AGAAAUGACCAGGACUGCAAUUUUCCUGUGUGUGGAGAUGGAGAGAUCGCUGUCCGAUCGUCGCAAGCAACGUUAGCACACUCUACUUGCUACAAUUCUGAUUCGUGUUCUGCGUUUUUUUGAUAAAUCUCGCGGAUUAUCGUUUUUUCUGUUUGCUUUAUAAAGACCUGCUGUGAUGAUGUGUUGUUCCAGGAUUGGUGAUGGAGAGGGUUCCCGUGGUUGAGUGGAAUUGUAGAAUUGUGAGUUAGUUGCUUUGUUGUUUGCUGUUGGGAGAGAAUCGCACCGAGCGUGUCGGUCAUUUAGAGGAGGUGUGGAAUUUGAGAUUAGAGCACUGAGUUGAGUAAGAGUUUAUUUUUUUAUUUUUAUAAUAAUAAUAAUAAUAAUUUUUUCUAGUUACGUGUUGAAAUUUUUGCUGCUGUUCGUUUUUCUUGAAUUUGGCCAAUCUUUUUGUUGGCAGCGAAUGCUGCUUUUUUUCGUGUGUGUGAGUGUGUUGUUGUUGUUGUUGUUGUUGUUUUUGUUUUUGUUUUUUUUUGUUUUUUUUUUUUUCCGCGGAAAUAUUACUUUUUAGCUGUGCGUCCUGUUAGUCGAGAGUUUUAGUCCGUCAUGGAUUCUCUUGCACCCGGUACAGACAAUUCUGGUUCUGGAAAGGAGCCGGCUGUUAUCCAGAAAACCGAGAUCGAGAUGUGUCGUGAGGAGUUGAACAAUGGCAAUGAUGGUAGUGAAUUGGAGGUUGGUAGUUUGAAGUCGAUUGCUAAGGUAGGAGUGACGAUUUCAAAUUUAGUUUCUACUGAAGUUGGAGGAGGUCCGCCCAAAGUUCCCGUGUUUAAAGAGCCCAAGCGAAUGGGACCUCCAUCCUUUAAACCUCCGUCUGCCAUGCCCCCACCCUCGAUGCCUCCUUCCAAGUUUACAAAAGCCAACUUACCGGGUCCAAUGGGACCCCCACCAAUGCGGGUGAAAUCUAGUAAAGACGAAGUGAAGGAGAUUGUUCAAAGUUCGACUGUGGAAGCAACAGCAAAUAUCUCUGUAGGUGUGAAGCCUUUAGAUGAAGAGGGUAGUAGUACGGUGAUGGCCAUGGAAGCAUCCAUGAGCAAGGCUUCAUUGGAGCCAGCUUCUUCGGGCGUACCCUAUGUGAUACCCACAUGGAGCGCAGCACCUAUUCAUCCCUUCAUGCUUGAAGUUCUGAAGGAAGGCGUUAUUCUGGGCAACCUUGAUGUAUCGAGCAAAGGAGCUUACAUGUUUGGGCGCAGCGACCGGUGUGACUUCAUCUUAGAGCAUCCGAGCGCGUCCCGCUACCAUGCAGUUCUGCAGUACAAUGACAAAGGAGAAGCCUUUGUAUACGACCUCGGGAGUACGCAUGGUACUUUUGUUAACAAGCGUCAGGUGAAGCCCAGAGUUUAUACUCCAGUUCAUGUGGGUGCAAUUUUUCGCUUUGGCCUCUCAAUCCGUUUGUACGUGCUCCAAGGCCCAAGCGAACUUAUGCCCGAGGAGAGGCAUUCAGCCGGAGCUGCAGAAGCACACAUGCGAGAAAUGUCCCUUCGGCGAGCAAAAGCGGAGGCAUCAGCCUUGGAGGGUGCUAGCUGGGGCAUGCAGGAGGAUGCUGAAGCUGAAGAGGAAGAGGAGGACCUGGACGAAGUGACUUGGCAGACUUACAAGGGAUCACUUACAGAGAAACAGCAAAAGACACUCGAAAAAGUUCAAAAACGACAUGAAAAGAUGGGCAAUUUGAACAAAGAGAUUGAUGCAAUUAGAGCCAAAGAAGGUAGCCAAGGGGGACUUACUCAAGGUCAACAGACACAAAUUGCACGCAAUGAGCAACGUAUUGAAGCGCUCAUGGAGGAGUUGGAAAGCUUAGAGGAAACCCUUAACGAGAGUAUUCGAGAAAGUUUAGGUGCGCGUUCAGGGAAGUCUCUCUCAAAAAAGAAACCUCAUUUUGAGGACGAGGAGGACGAAGAUGCUAGUGACGAUGAGUUCUAUGAUCGAACGAACAAGCGAAAACAGAGGUCCAAUAAAGCAGAAACCACUCAAGUGGUGGAGACAGCUGAGACUCUUCUCGAGAAAAGAGAUGUGCUUGCAAAGGAAAUGGAUGUUGUGUCGGCUGAGUUAGAGGCUGAGAAAGCAAAAUCAAGUACAAAAGAAGAAAGCAAUAUCACCUCGGAAUCUAUAGAUCCUCUGGAUGCAUUCAUGUCAACCGUAUCCACGAAAAUUGUUAAAGACAAAGGAGACCGCCUCUCAAAGGAGCUAUCAAAGCUUCAAGCGGAAGCUGAUAGGGUUGCCCGCCUCCUGAAAAUUGCAGACCCAUCUGGAGAUGCUGCUGGGAAAUGGGAUUCUAAAGCUCAAGGUUCAAGCCAAUAUCAGAAGGUAGAAACCAUUGUAGAGAAUCGAUUACGAUUACGUGCCAGUAAAGAAGCUGCGCGCGAGCUUGCAUCUCAAGCAAAGGAGCUUAUUGAACCUGCUCCUGAAGCGAAUAAUGCUCCACCUACUCCAGAUGUUAGUAUGGGUUCUAUUGACAAUCAACCUGAAACCAAAGAGAUGCCGGUUCUUGCACCUACUCUUCUUCUUGGUGCACCACGACCUGCACCGCGGCCGGAGGCACCACAGAAUGAAGCUACAAAGGGUUCAAUUUCCACAGAAGAAAACACAGAAACUGGGAAUGAUUUUGUAGGAUAUAAAGAUAGGAAACGGUCAGCUCCUAAGAACGAGGAUGUCGCAAAAGUAGAAGUUGUAGGUGAUAUGUUGGGGAGCGAGUAUACAGAUGUCGCUAGUCAUGCAGCCAUGGAGGCAGUUGCACUUCUAAUGAGACACACAUCAGGUUUUACUACUCAAGAGGAAGUACGAGAACAAGAGACUCAGUCGAGCGACAGCUUGCAGCAUGUAUCUGCAACUAAAACUCGAGGCAAGAAAAAACGAAAGCUGGGGCCUGAAAGACCUCCUGCAUUGGAUAACGAAUUGGACGAGCUCGAAGAAGCUUGGGUCCCUCCUAAAGGGCAAACUGGAGAUGGGCGAACAGCACUCAAUGCGAAGUUCGGAUAUUGAUGAUAUGCGCCCCUCCAUAACCUUUGCCAGAUUGUAUAAACUGUCACAAUGACCAUUAAUUUUCUGGUGUAGAGAAAAUCUGGUGGCAAUUUGGAAUCAACGAUGUAAUGCCUACGUAUCUGCUGCUACUGGAAGCUCUCUCCAGUUGUGUUUUUAGCACAUUAGUCUGCUCUGAAUGUAUACAGGAAUGGGGAUGUUGCUGGAAGAGAGGGAGAGUGGUCAUUUUUUCACGGUGGGGAUGAAGGUCGGUUUUCAUGUGAUAAUAGUAAGUCCUCGACCUCCAUCUACUUGAAUGUAUUUGAGGAGUGUUCUCAAAUGCUCUGAGGUCGACCUGUUUGAUUGAAGGCACUGAAGGCGAGUGCAUAAGCAGUGUAGAUUUUUACAUAUUGAAAUCCCUGGUUGUACACCAUAUUCUAUUUGUCGGAUGUACCAAGAUCUCAGAUCGGAAAAGGAAGAAUUAAAGGUAAAAUUUGUGUUUUUUUAAAACAGUGAGAUUGUAGAGGGUUGUCAAAUAUGUUGCGUAGUGCAGCAACUGGGAGCCAUCUGCAUUUUACGAGGCGUACUCAUGCGGCGAAUCGGAUUUUGCUAGAAAACCUGCUUGCUGGAUCCCCUAAGGUCACGUAUCUGAUCCAAGGCGUAAUGGACAUGCGGAAGCACUGUUUGAGUUCAAAUCUCUUGUUCAAUGUUUGAUUGUUUGCAAAUUCAUCAUCUAUUGCUUCUA